CACUGCUUCCUUAAGAACCAACAUUCUUUAGGGAUUGGGGGCAAAGUUUUUUUAAAGGAAUAUAAUGUCCAAGUUAUUUUGUUAUAAUAGUCUGAUCUGUAUUUCCAGUCUUCCAUCUAGUAUUUUAUAUUAAGAUCAUGCCCCCACACACAUCUACUGUAUGUUUCCUUAAGUUCUAGAUUCAGGAAAACUAAAUUACAAAAAAAUCAAAAUAGUGCUCUGACUCUGGAGGGAAGGGCAGAGUUGACUGGCAACAAGGGAACUUUGAGGUAAGAGUAAUGUUGUAUACCUUGAUCAGAGAGUGGAAUUGUCUGUGUAUACACUUAAAAUGUAUGGGUUUGCCGGGCGUGGUGGCUCACGCCUGUAAUCCCAGCACUUUGGGAGGCCGAUGUGGGCAGAUCACAAGGUCAGGAGAUCAAGACCAUCCUGGCUAACAUGGUGAAACCCCAUCUCUACUAAAAAUACAAAAAAAAAUUAGCCAGGCGUGGUGGGGGAUGCCUGUAGUCCCAGCUACUUGGGAGGUUGAGGCAGGAGAAUGGCGUGAACCCGGGAGGUGGAGCUUGCAAUGAGCCGAGAUCACGCCACUGCAUUCCAGCCUGGGUGACAGAGCAAGACUGCCUAAAAAAAAAAAAAACUAUGAGUUUUUUUAAAAUGUAAAUUGUAUCUCCAUAAGACAACUGUCUAAUAUUAUUUAUAUUCUUUUUAGACAAAGUCUCACUCUGUCGCCCAGGCUGGAGUGCAAUGGCAUAAUCUUGGUUCACUACAACCUCCGCUUCCCGGGUUCAAGAGAUUCUUCUGCCUCAGCUUCCCGAGUAGCUGGGAUUACAGGCGCCUGCCACCACACCCAGCUAAUUUGUGUAUUUUUAGUAGAGACAGGGUUUCACCAUGUUGACCAGCCUGGUCUUGAACACCUGACCUCAGGUGAUCUGCCCACCUAGGCCUCCCAAGGUGCUGGGAUUACAGGGGUGAGCCACCGCACCCGGCCUCUAAUUUUAAAAGUAUUCUUCCCUCUGGUUUUUGCUGGUAGGUAUUAUCUUAAUUUUUGUUUUUUAAGACAGGGUCUCACUUUUGUCCCCCAGGCUGGAGUACAAUGAUCACUCACUGUAAUCUUGAACUCCUGGGCUAAGAACGCCUCUUGAGUAGCUGUGACCACAAGUCCAUACCACCAAGCUCAGAUGGGUUUUUUAAAAAUUUUUUGUGGAAACAAGGAUCUUGCCCAGGCUGUUCUCAAACUCCUGGCCUCAAGUGAUCCUCCUGCCUCAGCUUCCCAAAGUGCUUGGAUUACAAAUGUGAAUCACCACACCUGGCCAGUACUUUUUUAAUUGAGUGGUAGCUACAUGAACAUGAUUGCUUUACAAAAUUCACUGAGCUGGCCGGGCACGGUGGCUCAUGCCUGUAAUCUCAGCACUUUGGGAGGCUGAGGUGGGAGGAUGAUCAGUUGAGCCCAGGAAGCCGAGGCUGCAGUGAGGCAAGAUCGUGCCACUGCACUCCAGCCUGGGUGACAGAUCAAGACCGUCUCAAAUAAUAAAUUAAAGGAUGACUAGGAGUUAACUAAAUAGGGAAGGAAGCACAUUCCAGGAAAAGAAAACAGCAGUGCAAAGGCCUCUGGCAGAAACAAACAUGGUCAGUUCUCAAGCCUGCAAUCAGCCAGUGAGCCUCUAGUGCAGAGGCCAAGGAGUGUGGUAAGAAAUGAAAAAGGGAAGUGGGAGCCAGACAAUGCAGGACCAUGUAGGCUGUAUCAGGGAGUUUUGUUUCUAUCACAAGAGCAACAGAAAGCUACUAAUGGGCUUUAAAGCAAGAGGUCGUGACAGGAUCGGAGCUGUGUUUUGGACAAAACCCUCAGGUGGUUCUGAUGGAAUGGUGUGAAUAGAUUAAAAGAAGCCAAAGUAGGAAUAGGAAGAAUAUUCAAGAAGCUACUCUCAUUUCCAGACAGGAAACGACAGUAGCAUUGGACCAGAGUGGUCCCAACAUUCCAGAAGCCCAGUAGGAGAGUUCUCACUGUUCAUUAUGA
rnacentral:lncRNA from 1 species